AGGCACUAAUGCCAAGAUAGAUGUACAGUUGUACAGUGAGACCAGCUCCUCAGCAAGGUACCGACUCUCAGCCUAUGACACUGAACAGCCAAUACUGAAACGUGGGAAUAAGGACAUGUUUCUGGUCUACACACAAGCUCCCCUUGGGAAAAUGUCCCAUGUGGUCAUCACUCAGAAAGGAAAGGGGAAGAAAGCCAAAUGGCACCUGGACAACAUUAAGUUGUAUGAUCCUCUGGAGGAGCAGGAGUGGACCUUCCCAUGUAAUAUCUGGCUUAAACCAGCACACAAUGGAGGGGAGGAGACCCACUGUGUAUGCUUCCAGAGUGAGCAGACACG